rnacentral:rRNA from 1 species
GACGAACGCUGGCGGCGUGCUUAACACAUGCAAGUCGAGCGGUAAGGCCCUUUCGGGGGUACGACGAGCGGCGAACGGGUGAGUAACACGUGGGUGACCUGCCCUCAGCUCUGGGAUAAGCCCGGGAAACUGGGUCUAAUACCGGAUAUGACUCCAUGACGCAUGUUGUGGGGUGGAAAGCCUUGUGCGGCUGAGGAUGGGCCCGCGGCCUAUCAGCUUGUUGGUGGGGUGAUGGCCUACCAAGGCGACGACGGGUAGCCGGCCUGAGAGGGCGACCGGCCACACUGGGACUGAGAUACGGCCCAGACUCCUACGGGAGGCAGCAGGUGGGGAAUCUUGCGCAAUGGGCGAAAGCCUGACGCAGCGACGCCGCGUGAGGGAUGACGGCCUGGU